UGGGGAAUUUUGGACAAUGGGCGCAAGCCUGAUCCAGCUAUUCCGCGUGUGGGAUGACGGCCCUCGGGUUGUAAACCACUUUAGUAGAGAACGAAAAGGAGCUAUCGAAUAAAUAGCUCUGCUGACGGUACUCUAAGAAUAAGCACCGGCUAACUACGUGCCAGCAGCCGCGGUAAUACGUAGGGUGCGAGCGUUAAUCGGAAUUACUGGGCGUAAAGGGUGUGCAGGCGGCUGAGUAAGACAGAUGUGAAAUCCCCGGGCUUAACCUGGGAACCGCAUAUGUGACUGCUUGGCUAGAGUGCG
rnacentral:rRNA from 1 species